rnacentral:rRNA from 1 species
CGAACGGCGAGAGAGAGCUUGCUUUCUCAAGCGAGUGGCGAACGGGUGAGUAACGCGUGAGGACCUGCCUCAAAGAGGGGGACAACAGUUGGAAACGACUGCUAAUACCGCAUAAGCCGGCAUCGGAAAAGGAGCAAUCCGCUUUGAGAUGGCCUCGCGUCCGAUUAGCUAGUUGGUGAGGUAAUGGCCCACCAAGGCGACGAUCGGUAGCCGGACUGAGAGGUUGAACGGCCACAUUGGGACUGAGACACGGCCCAGACUCCUACGGGAGGCAGCAGUGGGGAAUAUUGCACAAUGGGGGAAACCCUGAUGCAGCGACGCCGCGUGGAGGAAGAAGGUCUUCGGAUUGUAAACUCCUGUUGUUGAGGAAGAUAAUGACGGUACUCAACAAGGAAGUGACGGCUAACUACGUGCCAGCAGCCGCGGUAAAACGUAGGUCACAAGCGUUGUCCGGAAUUACUGGGUGUAAAGGGAGCGCAGGCGGGAAGACAAGUUGGAAGUGAAAUCCAUGGGCUCAACCCAUGAACUGCUUUCAAAACUGUUUUUCUUGAGUAGUGCAGAGGUAGGCGGAAUUCCCGGUGUAGCGGUGGAAUGCGUAGAUAUCGGGAGGAACACCAGUGGCGAAGGCGGCCUACUGGGCACCAACUGACGCUGAGGCUCGAAAGUGUGGGUAGCAAACAGGAUUAGAUACCCUGGUAGUCCACACCGUAAACGAUGAUUACUAGGUGUUGGAGGAUUGACCUUCAGUGCCGCAGUUAACACAAUAAGUAAUCCACCUG